rnacentral:rRNA from 1 species
GACGAACGCUGGCGGCGUGCUUAACACAUGCAAGUCGAGCGGAGCGGCGAACGGGUGAGUAACGCGUGAGUAACUGCCCCCCUCUCUGGGAUAACAGUUGGAAACGGCUGCUAAUACCGGAUAGUGGGGGAUGACUCGCGUCCGAUCAGCUUGUUGGUGGGGUAGUGGCCUACCAAGGCGACGACGGGUAGCCGGCCUGGGAGGGCGACAGGCCCCAUUGGGCUGAGAUACGGCCCAAACCCCUACGGGUGGCAGAAGUGGGGAAUGUUGCCCAAUCGGGGAAACCCGACUGCAGCAACGCGCGUGCGGUAUGCCUGCCUUCGGGUUGUAAACCGCUUUCAUCCAUGACGCGGUAGUGGCUGAAGAAGCACCGGCUAACUACGUGCCAGCAGCCGCGGUAAUAC